AUACGUAGGGGGCGAGCGUUGCUCGGAAUUACUGGGCGUAAAGGGUGUGUAGGUGGCUGAUCAAGUCAAGGAUGAAAUCCCGAGGCUUAACUUCGGAAUUGUCCUUGAAACUGAUCGGCUAGAGGUAAGUUGAGGAGAGCGGAAUUCCCGGUGGAGCGGUGAAAUGCGUAGAUAUCGGGAGGAACACCUGAGGCGAUGGCGGUUCUCUAAACUUAUCCUGACACUGAGACACGAAAGCUAGGGGCGCGAACGGGAUUAGAUACCCCGGUAGUCCUAGCCGUAAACGAUGGACGCUAGAUGUUCCUGCAUUCAUGUGGGAGUGUCGAAGCUAACGCGUUAAGCGUCCCGCCUGGGGAGUACGGUCGCAAGGCUGAA
rnacentral:rRNA from 1 species